CCCUCGGGCCGCGGCUGGUUGUUGUUCAGCCGCGCGGCCGCGCCGGGCUCUGGGUCCCGCGUCCACCGCCCGCGCUGUCCGUUCCGCGCGCGGCCAUGGAGCUGGAGGUGUCGGACGAGGCGGAGAGCGCCGAGGCGGGCGUCGUGACCUCGCAGGCGGCCUGGGCGGCGGAGAGCGGGGCGGCGGCGGCAGGUUUGUCUCAGAAGAAGCCGGCCUCUAUGGAGACCCCUCCAAUGACGGGCCAGCCGGGCCCUGGCCACGGCAAGAAGCUGGGUCACCGGGGCGUGGACGCGUCGGGGGAAACCACGUACAAAAAGACCACCUCCUCCACGCUGAAGGGGGCCAUCCAGCUGGGCAUUGGCUACACGGUGGGCAACCUGAGCUCCAAGCCUGAGCGGGACGUGCUCAUGCAGGACUUCUACGUCGUGGAGAGCAUCUUCUUCCCCAGCGAGGGCAGCAACCUCACCCCUGCCCACCACUUCCAGGACUUCAGGUUCAAGACCUACGCGCCCGUGGCCUUCCGCUACUUCCGGGAGCUCUUCGGCAUCAGGCCCGACGAUUACCUGUACUCGCUGUGCAACGAGCCCCUGAUCGAGCUGUCCAACCCGGGCGCCAGUGGCUCCCUCUUCUAUGUCACGAGCGACGACGAGUUCAUCAUCAAGACCGUGAUGCACAAGGAGGCAGAGUUCCUGCAGAAGCUGCUUCCGGGAUACUACAUGAACCUCAACCAGAACCCCCGGACGCUGCUCCCCAAGUUCUACGGGCUCUACUGCGUGCAGUCGGGGGGCAAGAACAUCCGCGUGGUGGUCAUGAACAACAUCCUGCCCCGCGUGGUCAAGAUGCACCUCAAGUUCGACCUCAAGGGCUCCACGUAUAAGCGGCGGGCCAGCAAGAAGGAGAAGGAGAAGAGCAUCCCCACGUACAAGGACCUGGACUUCAUGCAGGACAUGCCCGAGGGGCUGCUGCUGGACGCCGACACCUUCUCGGCGCUCGUCAAGACACUGCAGAGGGACUGCCUGGUGCUGGAGAGCUUCAAGAUCAUGGACUACAGCCUCCUGCUGGGCGUGCACAACAUGGACCAGCAGGAGCGGGAGCGGCAGGCCGAGGGCGCGCACAGCGCCGCCGACGAGAAGCGGCCGCUGGGCCAGAAGGCGCUCUACUCCACGGCCAUGGAGUCCAUCCAGGGCGGCGCGGCGCGCGGCGAGGCCAUCGAGACGGACGACACGAUGGGUGGAAUUCCUGCUGUGAAUGGCCGCGGGGAGCGCCUGCUGCUGCAUAUCGGCAUCAUAGACAUCCUGCAGUCCUACAGGUUCAUCAAGAAGCUCGAGCAUACCUGGAAGGCUCUCGUGCACGAUGGGGACACGGUCUCCGUGCACCGACCCAGCUUCUACGCGGAGCGCUUCUUCAAGUUCAUGAGUAACACCGUGUUCCGGAAGAACUCCUCCCUCAAGUCGUCCCCCUCCAAGAAAGGGCGGGCUGCCCUGCUGGCCGUGAAGCCCCUGGGGCCCACCGCCGCCUUCUCGGCCAGCCAGAUCCCCAGCGAGCGUGAGGAAGCCCCCUAUGACCUGCGGGGGGCUCGCAGCUACCCCACGCUGGAGGAUGAAGGCCGGCCCGACCUCUUGCCCUGCACUCCGCCCUCCUUUGAGGAGGCCACCACUGCCUCCAUCGCCACCACCCUGUCCUCCACGUCCCUGUCCAUCCCCGAACGCUCGCCCUCCGAGACUUCAGAGCAGCCACGGUACCGGCGCCGCACACAGUCCUCAGGACAGGAUGGCCGGCCCCAGGAGGAAGUGCACGCGGAUGAGGACUUGCAGCAGAUCACGGUGCAGGUGGAGCCCACAUGCAGCGUGGAGAUUGUGGUCCCCAAGGAGGAUGAUGCCGGGGGGGCGGCAUCCUCAGCCUGUACCGCAGCUGCCACCGCCACCGCCGCAGUAGAAGCGGAAACCGCCAGCCAGGCCUCGGAGCCCGCCAGCCAGGCCUCGGACGAGGAGGACGCGCCCGCCACCGAUAUUUACUUUUUCUCGGAUGGGAGGUUUUGGAUUUACUGCGGGCUGAUCAGGGCGUCCCGCCGAUGACCGGAGCUGGGUGUACUCCCCGCUCCACUAUAGCGCCCCGGCCCGCCCGGCCUCCGACGGCGAGAGUGACACAUAACUCCCACGCAGCCCCCGGCCACCCCCGGAGCUCGCCGCCCGCGCCUGCGAUGCCGUGCGCCGCCCCCAGCGUCCCCGGCUCCUAUUUAUUCGGGUCCCUGCUCUUUGCACAGAUGUCGCACGUGCGGUUUUCUUGGUUUUUUUUUUCUUUUUUCUCUUUAUUUUUUUUUUUUAAGAAAAAUGAAAAGGAAAAAAAAUAGUUAAGUCAAGGGGAAAAAAAAAUUAAAAGAAGACGCCAAGAGCAAACACAUCGGGGAAACGUCUUCAAGGGGAAGAAGCGCGACCCCGGCCCAGCACGGGGGUCUCCGCUGUGUCUGCAGGGGCCUGGAUCCCCCCCACACACACACUCCAUCCCGCAUCUCCGAGGGGGUCCUGGACCCCCCCGCAAUGGACAAGCAGAUGCCCCCUUCUGGAACACCAACGCCCUUGUUCGGGACAGAAGCUUCUGGAAGAGCGGCUGGGCCAGGAGGAGCCGCGUGGGCCGGCGGCAGGGGCCCGCCGGGAGGAAGGGGCGCUCCUGGCCAGUGGGUGCACCCCACGCCUGGAGAAGGAAAGCUGAACUCGGGCCCGGACCUUCUUCCUCUGGAUCUGACAGCAGCGGCACCCCCCAGCCCCGUAACCCCGGUGGGGGGGGCUGGGGCAGACAGCCUGGACACGUUGGGGGGCUGCCGGCAGCAGAGACCACACGGACACGUCGGGGCACCUUCCCCCACCUUCAGGGCCCAGGAGCUGGCCAACCUAUGGAACCUUCUGGAAGGAACUCUGUCCGGAGGAGACCUCCCCUCCCCCCCACCUCCCGCAGCUCUCGGAUCAUCCUGCGGGACCCAAUGCGCCAGCACAGACCCCCCACCCCCACCCCCACUCCCACCGGAGUAAUGUCUGUGCAGACCCCAGGCCCCCCUGCACCCCACCCGGAAUUCCAGGCCUCCUGGAGACCCCUCCGACGUCCAGAACUCACAGCCGUGGGGGGUCCUCGGGAUGGGAGGAACCAGGGCCGGGGCCUGACCCCGCUGUCCCCGACCCCCACCCUGCCCAUAGCAGACGUUUCUAUUUUUGUGGUUGAGUCCCACAGACGCCCCUUAGGGGGCACACGCGGGGUACGGCAGGGCCCCCACGCGCCCCAGGAGGGAACUGUCUGCGCCCCCGCCCCCGCCUGUGUGGGGUGGGGGUCCCGUCUGUGUGCGGGCAACGGGCCCCUUUGGAGACCACUCCCUCCAGUGCCCGGCCCAGUGCAAUACCCCUGCCCGGCCUGGGGGACCCCACGCUACGACCCCUCGGUCCUGCCUCGCCGGACAGACCCCCGUCUUCCAUCCCACGUCCCCACCCCAUCCUCUGUCGCCACAGGCGAACCCAUUUGGAAACACAAGGAGCCCCCAAACCUCGUGUGUCUUCAUCCCCCACCCCCUGCGGUUCCGCGUGCUCCGACUACCCCCACCCGACCCGGCCCCCCGGUGGUCCGGUCCCGUGUCUGACAAUCUGGCUUCUUGGGUCACGGGGUGCCGUCGUCCCGGGUCUCACUCCUAGAGCCCAGGACACCCGUAGGACCCACAGCCACUGCUGGCCCCGGGAGCACUGGUAUGUGCGCGCCCUCUCCCCCCCCCCCCCCGCCCCGUUUUUACGUCAUGAGAUCUCCCUAAUAAAUUGGGUCCUGAGCACGCCAA